UAAUUUGUAUAUUUGUGUGUGUGUGUGUGUGUGUUUUUAAAAGUGGUUUUUAAUGCAUUGAGUUUCACAUCGGACACCAAAAGGCUUUUGUUACUUUGUGCCAAAUGGAGGGUCCUUAGUUUUCUCUCUCUCUCUCUCACUCUCUCUCUCUCUCUACCCUUCAAUUUUCUCUCUGCCUUUGCUACUGCUAAGAAUCAAAACACUUCUUCAAUCUCUACUACUUCUGUUUAUUUCACUGAUCUUCAGAUUUAUUCAGAUAUAAAAUCCGGGGCUUUUUCUUUCUGGAAUUUUGAUGUCUCCACCAUUACUUGAUGUUGGGGAGGUGGAGGAAAGUCGCAGCAAUGUCACUCUGUUGGCUUCCUCAAACUCGAUGGAGAGUGUCAGUCCCAACAAUUUGGGAUUUGAAGAGCGUAAUUACAUGGGAUUAUCUGAUUCUUCUUCAGAGGACAGCUGUAUGACUGCCACAAAAUCCGAUGGGAACAAACCCUCGCUGAAUCUUAAGGCUACAGAACUGAGGCUUGGUCUCCCUGGAUCUGAAUCCCCCGAGAGGGAUCCGGAUAAUUGCUUGCGUAGCUCUUCUCAACUUGAUGAAAAACCACUAUUUCCUUUGCACCCAUCAAGUGAUGGUCAUUACUCUUCCCCACAAAAGACUGUUGUCUCAGGCAACAAAAGGGGGUUUUCUGAUGCUAUGAACGAAUUCUCAGAGGAAAAAUAUCACGCUAACAUAGGUUUGAAAGCUGGUUCUUUGCUAGAGAACCUUGGAAGUCAAAUGGGGAAAGUGAAAGAGCCAACUACACAAAAGGCUGUACAAGAGAGGCCUCAAGAAAAUAGUGAAUCUAGACCAUCUCAUAAUGAAACUGCUAAUAACAACACCAGCGCACCUGUUUCCAAGGCACAGGUUGUGGGUUGGCCGCCCAUAAGAUCUUUCAGGAAGAACACAUUGGCUACAACUUCAAAGAACAACGAUGAAGUUGAUGGAAAGGCAAUGGCUGGGGCACUCUUUAUCAAAGUCAGCAUGGAUGGUGCUCCUUAUCUUAGGAAGGUAGAUCUGAGGAAUUACUCUGCCUAUCAGGAGCUGUCUUCUGCCCUUGAGAAGAUGUUCAGCUGUUUCACUAUAGGUCAAUAUGGAGCUCAUGGAGCUCUGGGCAUGGAGAAAAUGAGUGAGAGCAAGCUGAAAGAUCUUCUUCAUGGCUCAGAAUAUGUUCUAACAUAUGAGGAUAAAGAUGGUGACUGGAUGCUCGUUGGUGAUGUCCCUUGGGAGAUGUUCAUCGACUCUUGUAAGAGGCUGAGGAUUAUGAAGAGCUCAGAUGCAAUUGGACUGGCUCCUAGGGCAGUGGAGAAGUGCCGAAACAGGAGCUAGCUAAUAACUGCAAUGCCACGGUUGAUGCUAUCCAUCCAAAUGUUGGAGCAAGAUUGAUCUAAACUAAAAGUACGUCAUAUGUGGCUUUGGAAGGUGGUUCGAGGAACGAAAGUGUUGGAUGGGAUAGACAAACAAAAGAAAUGACUGCUUCGCAAUCAAAGUUAUGGGUACAUAUCAGAAAGGAGGAUAAUUCCAAUAGUUUGCAAAAGUAGUGUGAAAUUACGCCAAAACCUUUCAAGUGGGAGGGUAGUACUGAGUUGAUUCUUUUGAAGCAAUGAUGAGACCCGUAUUGCAUUUAUUGCCCUCCUCUGAAGAUGUAAGGUAAAGAAAACAGUAUAUUUUUGUCUGCCAUUCAACUGCUUAUUUAUUUUUUUGUGAGAGGUAUACUAUUAGGCUAAGAUAUCUAUUCGUAAUCAAAAUUGGUAUAAUCGUCAUGGAAUUUCAUUGUGGAUUAAUGAUAACUAUUCUUAAUCACAAACACAAUUGGAUUGGUUUUGAUUGUAUUUAUUACUUAAAUGUUUUGAUUGUAUUUAUUACUUAAAUGUUUUGUAAACAUAAUUUGAUUAUGAUUGAUGUUGUUUACUUCGCAUUGUCUAGUAUCAUUGACUUCUUAUCAUUAUCGUUUAGAGUGAAUCGAUAAUGGUAUUUGCAUCUUU